rnacentral:rRNA from 1 species
UACGUAGGGUGCGAGCGUUGUCCGGAAUUAUUGGGCGUAAAGAGCGUGUAGGUGGUAGUGUAAGUCUGGCGUGAAAUUUUUCGGCUUAACCGGGAAAGGUCGUCGGAUACUGCACAACUAGAGGACGGUAGAGGCGUGUGGAAUUCCGGGUGUAGUGGUGAAAUGCGUAGAGAUCCGGAGGAACACCAGUGGCGAAGGCGACACGCUGGGCCGUACCUGACACUGAUGCGCGACAGCAUGGGGAGCAAACAGG